GGGAUACCGAUUGGAAACGAUCGUUAAUACCGCAUAAUAUAAUUGAACCGCAUGAUUUGAUUAUCAAAGAUUUAUCGCUGAAAGAUGAGCUCGCGUCUGAUUAGCUAGUUGGUAAGGUAACGGCUUACCAAGGCGACGAUCAGUAGCCGGACUGAGAGGUUGAUCGGCCACAUUGGGACUGAGACACGGCCCAGACUCCUACGGGAGGCAGCAGUGGGGAAUAUUGCACAAUGGAGGAAACUCUGAUGCAGCGAUGCCGCGUGAGGGAAGAAGGUUUUAGGAUUGUAAACCUCUGUCUUCAGGGACGAAAAAAGACGGUACCUGAGGAGGAAGCUCCGGCUAACUACGUGCCAGCAGCCGCGGUAAUACGUAGGGAGCGAGCGUUGUCCGGAAUUACUGGGUGUAAAGGGAGCGUAGGCGGGAUCGCAAGUCAGAUGUGAAAACUAUGGGCUUAACCCAUAAACUGCAUUUGAAACUGUGGUUCUUGAGUGAAGUAGAGGUAAGCGGAAUUCCUAGUGUAGCGGUGAAAUGCGUAGAUAUUAGGAGGAACAUCAGUGGCGAAGGCGGCUUACUGGGCUUUAACUGACGCUGAGGCUCGAAAGCGUGGGGAGCAAACAGGAUUAGAUACCCUGGUAGUCCACGCCGUAAACGAUGAUUACUAGGUGUGGGGGGACUGACCCCUUCCGUGCCGCAG
rnacentral:rRNA from 1 species